GACGAACGCUGGCGGCGUACUUAACACAUGCAAGUCGAGCGGAGCGGCGAACGGGUGAGUAACGCGUGAGUAACUGCCCCCCUCCCUGGGAUAACAGUUGGAAACGGCUGCUAAUACCGGAUAGUGGGGGAUGACUCGCGGCCUAUCAGCUUGUUGGUGGGGUAGUGGCCUACCAAGGCGACGACGGGGAGCCGGCCUGAGAGGGCGACCGGCCACAUUAGGCUGAGAGACGGACCAUACUCCUACGGGGGGCAGCAGGGGGAAGUAUUGCACAAUGGGGGAAACUCUAAUGAGAAAGCGCCGCGGGCGGAAUGACGGCCUUGGGGUUGUAAACCGCUUUCAGCCAUGACGCGGUAGUGGCAGAAGAAGCACCGGCUAACUACGUGCCAGCAGCCGCGGUAAUAC
rnacentral:rRNA from 1 species